rnacentral:misc_RNA from 1 species
UGGCUCUCGCAACGAUGAAGAACGCAGCGAAAUGCGAUACGUAGUGUGAAUUGCAGAAUUCCGUGAAUCAUCGAAUCUUUGAACGCACCUUGCACUCUGUUCUGCAGAGUAUGCCUGUUUGAGAAUCUAUAGUAUUUUUCAACGGUUGUUGAAGAUUUGGGCAUUGUUUAUUUAAACUGGCCUUGAAUUAAAUUCUUGAGGUUGUUUGUAUGACGACGUAUUGAAUUAGAGAGAUGAAGGGUUCGCCCAGCUUCCUUUAAUUUCUGUACUAGUACAGCAACUAGAAAGCUCAUUCUUUAUAAAUUCUUGGUCUCAAAUCAGGUAGGAAGACCCGCUGA